AAUUAGCAUUCAUUCCUCAUGCCCUAAAAAUAUCCUAUAUCAACUCAAUCUUAAAUAUAAAUAACUUUAUCAACAACAAAAUCUUCGAGAAUGAGAAUAGAAAAGGGGCCUCAAGAAGAGAAUGAAAGAGCAAAACUGUGCUCACCAGAAGAAUUAGCCGGCAACUCUUUCUACCUAGUUGGAUCUGGGUGUUGCCCAUUCAACUCGAAG
rnacentral:misc_RNA from 1 species